rnacentral:rRNA from 1 species
UACGAAGGGGGCUAGCGUUGUUCGGAUUUACUGGGCGUAAAGCGCACGUAGGCGGAUUGUUAAGUCAGGGGUGAAAUCCCGGAGCUCAACUCCGGAACUGCCUUUGAUACUGGCAAUCUUGAGGCUGGAAGAGGUUAGUGGAAUUCCCAGUGUAGAGGUGAAAUUCGUAGAUAUUCGCAAGAACACCAGUGGCGAAGGCGGCUUACUGGUCCGGUUCUGACGCUGAGGCGCGAAAGCGUGGGGAGCAAACAGG